rnacentral:rRNA from 1 species
AUACGGAGGGUGCAAGCGUUAUCCGGAUUCAUUGGGUUUAAAGGGUGCGCAGGCGGACUUGUAAGUCAGUGGUGAAAUCCCGGGGCUCAACCUCGGAACUGCCAUUGAUACUGGAUUUCUUGAAUUAGUGUGAAGUGGUUAGAAUGUGUAGUGUAGCGGUGAAAUGCAUAGAUAUUACACAGAAUACCAAUUGCGAAGGCAGAUCACUAACACUAUAUUGACGCUAAGGGACGAAAGCGUGGGGAGCGAACAGGAUUAGAAACCCCGGUAGUCC